rnacentral:lncRNA from 1 species
CUUAAAUUCUACACCCUGUUAGGAAAGUUUGUAUUCAUUGAAUAAGAGUUUGACACAUCCCUAGAUCACAGCUAUCCAGCCUAAAGGACCAAGUAGAAUUCCAAGUCAUUAAGAGGUUUGGUUUUUUUUUAAUAGGUGAAGAUUAUACAUGAUAUGGCGUACUUACUUGGAAACAUGGCUAAAAGGUGUAAUGUCAGUCAAGAGUUACAGAAAAGUAUGGCCGAUGUUUCAGAUGUGACUGUGAGAAUAUUAAAGGGAUGCAUCACCUGCACUGCUGCAAACCCACAAAGCUCUCGUCCAAAAUCCAAGGGCAUCAAAAAGAUGUGUUCUUUGUGUUGUAUACAGAAAUUAGUUUCUCGCUUCAGGUUUUGUUGGAUUCAGUCCAUGACUACCUAUCUCUGACCUUCUGAAAGAUUGUUAGAAUGACAUGAACGAUAACGAAUCACAAAAUGCUCUGGUUUUGCAGAGUAUACUGGUUUUAUGCACAGAACUAUACAAUUCAAGCAUUUCCUUUUGGCUUGUGCAAAUAUUCUACCUGAGAAGACUUGCUAUGCAUUUAUUUAUGGAGGAAUGGAAGAAAAUAGGUGCAAGAUGAAUGUGUUUCAAGACAACCCACAACAUCACGGAAAGCAGAGAACGUGCAAUUUGAUUUGGACCGAUUUGUGGAAGUCAGAGCUACUGAUGACUAAUAGCCCUGUUGACAGUAGGAGGUGAUAUGCCUCUGAAGAACCACUGCUGAGACUCGUGUCCUGCUGGUGGGUUUCCUUGUACAGUUGGCUGGCAACUAUGAGAACAGACUGUUGGGAUAGAUGAACCAUGAGCUGUUGGGAUAGAUGAACCAUGAGUCCAAUCCAGUGGGGCAUUUCUUAUGUCUUUAUUCAUACAGUAGGUCACAUUUACAUCUCAGUAGUUCAUAACAGCAAUAAUUCCUUUUUAAAAGUAUGUAAUUGUAACAUUUAAACUUUAAUUUAAGAAGCAAAGUAGCACUUUAAAAACAACAAAGGAAUUUAUUAUUCUUUACUUCCACUAAUGCAAAUCUUAUGGUUAAAAAAAAACCCCUCUUUAAAGAAAAGUUAAGGUUUACUAAUUUUACUCACUGGAUUUGAAAAAUGAUAAAGGACUAGAGGCAAGGUUAGAAGAAAGAAGAAUAACAAAGUUUGAGGACUUUAAGGAAGACAGUCAGGAUAUGAAGCUUCCAGGAGUAGAGUCUGAGUGGAGGAAAGUUCUGUGUUUUGCUGUUAAAUAGACUCAUGCACAAAUACUCAGGAAUUGCUCCAAUUUAGGAAUAACUUCUUGAGUUCAAGCCAUUUAAUGCAGUUAAAGCCAUGUAGCUUAAAAUAUUUAGAUAUUAUUUUUAUAAAAUAUUGACAUUUUUAUAGCUAAGAUGUGCCACUUAACACAU